GCCCAUUAGUCACCGUAGAUUUUGCGUUCUAACGGUUUUUUCCCUCUCUUUUUCCUCUUUUCCAAAGAUGCGCACACACUAUACAAACUCCUCUGCCCUUAUAUCUGAUGAAAAAAGAGCCUUUGUCUACAACUCUGCCUACUUCAAAAGACUCCUACCUGUGGAGCAGAGGCCAGGGAGAUUGAGAGAAAUGAGCCUCUUCGACGCACUACUUCCUCUGCUCCUACUUGCGUUCACUGCAAUUCCAGCAGCGAAAGCCUCCUCCGGCGGCGGCAAUACCAGCCAUCCAUCCGCUGCGUCGCUCACCGAUUGCCAACGGAGCUGCGGGAAUCUCACCUUCGACUACCCCUUCGGCAUCGGCUCACCCCGCUGCUUCCGUGACCCCGACUUCAAGCUCAUCUGCAACAACACAACACAAGGCCCCAAGCUCUUCCUCAAUGACGGCAUAACUGAGAUCCUUGAUGAUUUAGAUAUCCCAUAUACAGGAAUCGAAGUAUCCUUUUCAUAUUCUGUUGCCAUGAUAUCUGGUCUCAACGAAUACAACAAGUCAUGGAAAGCUCCAGGGAGACAUUUCAGCUUUGCAUACAUCAACCUGAACAUCACUGGCUGUGACUUUGAUGCAUACCAGCUGCUAGAUAACCCAGACACAAAUCAGCUGCUGCUCUGUUCUGUUACCUGCCCUAACAAAGAAAUCACGGAGACCGUUGCUAGGCAGGACUGUAACGGUACCGGAUGUUGCUCCAUCAUAGUCCCCGUCCGUGCCAACGCCUUUCAGCUCAAGUUUGUCCGGAAGGACAAGGGGCAGCUCCCUUACCGAAGCUCUCUCUGGGACAGAAUCAAUGUAACUACUGUCUUUGCAGGCAUUACAUGGAGCAUGUUGGAUCAGCCAACCUGCGCUAGCACCUUGGUUAAUAAUACCAACUAUGCAUGUGUCAGCAACCACAGCAUGUGUUUCAAUGAUUAUUACACAAUUGAUCAUGGUUAUAAUUGCCGCUGUACUAAUGGGUACGAAGGCAAUCCUUACUUAGUCGAUGGCUGCAAGCGUGAUGAAGGCUAUACUCCAUUUGCACGAAAGCUUAACUGUUCUCAACUGUGUGGGAACAUCAGUGUUCCUUUUCCAUUCGGUCUAGAAGACGGGUGUUCGGCAAGGAAGCUAUUUCUGCUCAACUGCACGAAUGUGUCCACAUCCAGUCUCCAGUUGAAUGAUGAAUAUCGUGUGACAUAUAUAAAUGUUAGCGAAGGCCUUGUGGGUAUUGAAGACACCUCAUAUUUCAGGGAGGAGAUGUAUGGGGUUUAUAUACCAAAUGAGCCUGAACUCUAUAUUGGUUCAGGUGAAUCGGCAUCUAUGCAAUGGGCCGUUGCCAAUCUAACUUGUCAAGAGGCGCAACAGAACAAGUCAGGAUAUGCAUGUGUAAGCAACAAUAGCACAUGCUUGGGCGUCAAUUCAACACGUAGUUAUAUUGGAUACCGAUGCACAUGUACAUCAGGUUUUCAAGGAAAUCCAUACAUCCUAAAUGGAUGUGAAGAUAUUAAUGAGUGCAAAAUAGCAGGCAUUUGCAAAGGUGUAUGCCAUAACACUAUAGGAAGUUACGACUGCACUGAGUGUCCUUACAAAACACAGUAUGAUACUAUGACAAUGAAGUGCAUCUCAACAAGAAAGCAAAAUCUUCUAGUAGGUAUUCUCAUAGGGCUUAGUGGUGGCUUCAGCUUUCUACUUCUCAGCUUAUGUGGGGUCUUUCUCUGCCGUAAAUGGAAACGGGACAUUCAAAAGCAGCUACGUAGGACGUAUUUUAGAAAGAACCAAGGACUUCUCCUAGAACAAAUAAUAUCAUCAGAUGAAAAUGCCAGUGACAAGACAAAGAUUUUCUCUUUGGAGGAGCUAGAAAAGGCAACAAAUAACUUUGAUCCAACACGUAUCCUUGGUCAUGGAGGGCAUGGCAUGGUGUAUAAGGGUAUUCUAACUGAUCAACGCGUGGUGGCGAUAAAAAGGUCUAAGAACAUUGAGGAAGGUGAGAUCAGUCAAUUUAUUAAUGAGGUAGCAAUUCUCUCUCAAAUAAAUCACAGAAAUAUAGUAAAGCUUUUUGGGUGUUGUCUAGAAACUGAGGUCCCGCUGUUGGUGUAUGACUUCAUUUCAAAUGGUUCAUUAUUUGGAAUUCUACAUUCGGAUCCAAGUAGUGGUUUCUGUUUGUCAUGGGAUGACUGCCUAAGAAUUGCUGCAGAAGCUGCAGGAGCUCUUUACUAUCUCCACUCAGCAGCUUCAGUCUCAGUCUUCCAUCGUGACGUGAAGUCCUCUAAUAUACUGUUAGAUUCAAAUUAUACGGCAAAAGUUUCAGACUUUGGUGCCUCUAGAUUGGUUCCUAUUGAUCAAACCCAUGUUGUUACAAAUGUUCAAGGCACAUUUGGAUAUUUAGAUCCAGAGUAUUACCACACUGGGCAGCUAAACGAGAAAAGUGACGUAUAUAGUUUCGGUGUGGUACUUGUGGAACUACUUCUGAGAAGGGAGCCUAUUUUUACAAAUGAGACAGGUUCAAAGCAGAACUUAUCUAACUACUUUCUUUGGGAAUUAAAAGCAAGGCCAAUUAAAGAGAUAGUGGCCACUCAGGUUCGUGAGGAAGCAACUGAGGAAGAGAUUAUAAGUGUUGCCUCUCUUGCGGAGAUGUGUUUGAGACUCGACAGUUCAGAGAGACCUACUAUGAAGCAAGUUGAGAUGAGUUUGCAGUUCUUGCGAACAAAAAGGUCAAACUCACGCCGCAUUGUUCAAGAUACUGCUGAAGAGGCGCAACCGUUGCUAUCUACAAGAGCUGAAUCUAGAUAUGAGACGUUUGCUAUUAGCUUGGGUGAAAGUUAUAAUUCAGAAUAUUGCUACAGCCAAAGAUUCAAUAGCUUGGAGCAUGACUUAGAAUCAUCUCCCGGGGUGCCAUGCUAAGGGGCUCUGCACUGUGAAAAUGCCACUAAAACUUCAUAGGAAAAGAUUUUAUGAGGCAUCUAUGCUGGGUAUUGAUUCCAAUAGCACAUGAAACGUUCCCAAAGUGGGAAAGUACAUAUGUCAUUAAUUAAUUUGCUAUCAUCAAAGAUGCACGUAUCCAAUCCAUAAUUUGUACCCCUGUAGGCCACUAAUGGGACUUUGUCCUAGCCCUUGACUCUAUGCAUUGACAUGGGAGUCGAUCUGGGUCCAACUGGAGUUUGGUUUCAGCAAACCGGUAAGGUCCUCAGCCUCUGCUCGAACUGCCACCCAUGUCUGGUAAGCCUUGAGUUAUGGCUGCCUCGGUGUAACAUCCAUUGGGUUGCAGUUUCUUAGAAGCUGGAGAAAUUAUAGGAACCAAUAAUCGGUAACUCUUAAACUUCGAACAUGAUUAGUGUUGAUGGAG